UUGGAGGUAGUUAUCGGACUACCAUGGCGUUCACGGGUAACGGAGGAUUAGGAGUUCGAUUCCGGAGAGAAGCCUGAGAAACGGCUACCACAUCCAAGGAAGGCAGCAGCCGCGUAAAUUACCCAAUCCUGACUCAGGGAGGUAGUGACAAGAAAUAACAAGCGGUGGCCUAGCCACCGAAUUGCAAUGAGCCGAAUUUACACCACUUAGUGAGGAUCGAUUGGGAGGGCAAGUCUGGGUGCCAGCAGCCGCGGUAAUUCCAGCUCCAAUAGCGUAUAUUAAAGUUGUUGCAGUUAAAAAGCUCGUAGUUGGAUUUCUGGCGGGGACCCAAGUACCCCUGGUGGGUGUGCUCGGGCCCGGCCAUCCUUCUGUCAACUUUCGCGCGUCCUUCACCGGUCGGCAAAGGGAUCAGAUAAUUUACCUUGAGAAAAUUAGAGUGUUUCAGAGCAGGCUUUCGCCGGAAUACAUUAGCAUGGAAUAAUGGAAUAGGACUGAGGUCUCGUUGUUGGUUACGCGGACUCCAGUAAUGAUUAAUAGGGACAGUUGGGGGCAUUAGUAUUUAUUAGCUAGAGGUGGAAUUCUCUAAUUUGAUAAAGACUAACUUAUGCGAAAGCAUUUGCCAAGGAUGUUUUCAUUAAUCAAGAACGAAAGUUAGGGGAUCAAAGACGAUCAGAUACCGUC
rnacentral:rRNA from 1 species